UAAUACCUUAUACGCCCUUCGGGGGAAAGAUUUAUCGGAAUUGGAUUAGCCCGCGUUAGAUUAGAUAGUUGGUGGGGUAACGGCCUACCAAGUCGACGAUCUAUAGCUGGUUUGAGAGGAUGAUCAGCAACACUGGGACUGAGACACGGCCCAGACUCCUACGGGAGGCAGCAGUGGGGAAUCUUAGACAAUGGGCGAAAGCCUGAUCUAGCCAUGCCGCGUGAGUGAUGAGGGCCCUAGGGUCGUAAAGCUCUUUCGCCAGAGAUGGUAAUGACAGUAUCUGGUAAAGAAACCCCGGCUAACUCCGUGCCAGCAGCCGCGGUAAUACGGAGGGGGUUAGCGUUGUUCGGAAUUACUGGGCGUAAAGCGUACGUAGGCGGACUGAUCAGUGAGAGGUGAAAUCCCAGGGCUCAACCCUGGAACUGCCUUUCAUACUGUCAGUCUUGAGUUCGAGAGAGGUGAGUGGAAUUCCAAGUGUAGAGGUGAAAUUCGUAGAUAUUUGGAGGAACACCAGUGGCGAAGGCGGCUCACUGGCUCGAUACUGACGCUGAGGUACGAAAGUGUGGGGAGCAAACAGGAUUAGAUACCCUGGUAGUCCACACCGUAAACGAUGAAUGCCA
rnacentral:rRNA from 1 species